GUCCACGCCGUAAACUAUGGGCACUAGAUGGAUGUCGAGCUAUCGAUGUCUGUAGGAGGCAAUUUGGUAAGUGCCCCGCCUGGGGAGUAUGGUCGCAAGGCUGAAACUCAAAGGAAUUGACGGGGGCUCACACAAGCGGUGGAGGAUGUGGUUUAAUUCGAAGCAACGCGCAGAACCUUACCAGGUCUUGACAUACCGGGAUUAUUUCAGUGAAAGCGGGAAAAUUCUCAGCAAUGAGGUAACCGGAACAGGUGCUGCAUGGCUGUCGU
rnacentral:rRNA from 1 species